UGACACAGUGACACCAGAAAUCACAACCAGACUCAUCUGAGCCCCCAGCUGCACCCAUGGGACAGCUUUAGUACACCUAAACGCUGUCCCAUGUCUUCCUUCAGUGUGGCUGUGAGUUCUGGCGUCACCUCCGUGUUCCCUGACGAGGCAGGACUCUCUCUUCGUCCAACACCUGUCCACCACACCAGCUAAAGGUUGGUUAAGUUUUUACGAGACAGGACGACUGACGGCCAAAAUCUGGCAGGAUUCAUCCUCGUCUAACUGUCCAUCAGUUUACACCAUCAUCUUAUGCGGGAUUUAUACUUCUGCAUCAAAUCGACGCUGUACCUACACCGUACCCUGACGUGCACCUCCCCAGAAAUGUAACUCCACAGUGUCACAGUGACGCAGACCUCCUGUCUGUCUCUGUAAGCUGAAACCAUUUCCCUCAGUGGAAACAAAGCUUUGAUUUACUUUAAUUUCACAGAUAAGAAACAAUAAAUUGUGAAGACAAUAAAGCCUCCACACACUGUGUGUGAUUUAUCCUGGCUGAAAUAUGAGCAGAGGAAAUCUCUGCUAGCUGCUAGGCUCAUUUAUACAAUGUAAAAUGUGUGUUUAAUGUGUGUUUACUGUGUGUUUAGUGUUUAAUGUGUGUUUACUGUGUGUUUAGUGUGUGUUUACUGUGUGUUUAAUGUGUGUUUACUGUGUGUUUAGUGUUUAAUGUGUGUUUACUGUGUGUUUAAUGUGUGUUUACUGUGUGUUUANUGUUUAAUGUGUGUUUAGUGUGUGUUUAACGUGUGGUAACUGUAACUUUGGCCAUUUGAUUGGAUCUCAGACCCACUGACCCAACAGAGAGAGUACGGGUCAGGAAGCGUCAGCCUUUGUUAGGGUAAGCUUGUCAGUGUAAGUCGACCUGUCCUCUGCUGACAAAAUGUCCCCGCCGUUAACAAAGACAAAAAGGGUCGAGUUAUUUGAGCAGACUAAUUUGUGCUGCGUUGCGCACAUAAACUUUUUCUCCCGAGACUUCACGGGGCUCUACAGAUUCAUUCUUUAGUUUAAGUUGACAAAGAAGUUUUCUUUUCUCAGUUGGUGCACGGACAGGAAGUAGGAACUACCUGAGAUACUUGAGUAUAAACUUAAUAUCUUAUUGAAGAAUUUAAGAGAAACCAGCAAAUUUGCUGCAAAUUUGAUUUUCAGUUUUUGGGUUUAACAGCUGAGCAUCGAUUGGUUUGACGGAUUUAAACUUAAAUUAAAAAAAUUAUUUAAACGUUAAACCAUGGUGUAGCUGGUGUCUGGAGCCCUCUCUCUGUCAGCCUGCCCCCUGCUCUGGUUUCAGUCUGGGUUGAUGUGGAUCAAUCACACAGUGAGAUCUCUGUGGUGUAGCCGACACACUCUCGAGGUCUCUGGGUUUACAGCAGCAGUCCAGCAGAAAAACAUACAGGAACAUCCUGAGCCACAUCUAAACACCAAGAGAGGGACUUCAACUACCAACCAACCUGUCACACACACACACACACACACACACACACACACACACACACACA